UUUGCCCUGCUACGCUCUACACCCUUUGUGACAUACCUACAACUGUUGCUUCGGCGGGUAGGGUCUCCGCGACCCUCCCGGCCUCCCGCCUCCGGGCGGGUCGGCGCCCGCCGGAGGAUAACCAAACUCUGAUUCAACGACGUUUCUUCUGAGUGGUACAAGCAAAUAAUCAAAACUUUUAACAACGGAUCUCUUGGUUCUGGCAUCGAUGAAGAACGCAGCGAAAUGCGAUAAGUAAUGUGAAUUGCAGAAUUCAGUGAAUCAUCGAAUCUUUGAACGCACAUUGCGCCCGCCAGCAUUCUGGCGGGCAUGCCUGUUCGAGCGUCAUUUCAACCCUCAAGCUCUGCUUGGUGUUGGGGCCCUACAGCCGAUGUAGGCCCUCAAAGGUAGUGGCGGACCCUCCCGGAGCCUCCUUUGCGUAGUAACUUUACGUCUCGCACUGGGAUCCGGAGGGACUCUUGCCGUAAAACCCCCCAAUUUUCCAAAGGUUGACCUCGGAUCAGGUAGGAAUACCCGCUGAACUUAAGCAUAUCAAUAAGCGGAGGAA
rnacentral:rRNA from 1 species